GCAUUGUUAUAAUUAGCAUUACAGAACCAGUUAAUAAAAGCACUUGCUAGUAACAGAGACUAGAGACUCACCUAGAAAGCCUGUUUAAAUAUUGCCUGUGAUGGGAUCCCAUACCUUAUACAUUUCAAUAAAGGCCCAGUUUGGCGUUGCGAGCUGGAGGAUUUUACAGAAAACCUGAGAUCUUAGUGCACCUAAACCAUCCCACAAUGCCAAACUGGCUUAGUAGUUGAUUCUCAUCAAUUCAUUGGAUAUUAGGGAGCCACUCAUCCUUUACAUUCAAAUGCUCUUCAAGAUU
rnacentral:misc_RNA from 1 species